UACGUAGGGUGCAAGCGUUGUCCGGAAUUAUUGGGCGUAAAGAGCUUGUAGGCGGUUUGUCGCGUCUGCUGUGAAAUUUCGGGGCUCAACCCCGAACUUGCAGUGGGUACGGGCAGACUAGAGUGUGGUAGGGGAGACUGGAAUUCCUGGUGUAGCGGUGAAAUGCGCAGAUAUCAGGAGGAACACCGAUGGCGAAGGCAGGUCUCUGGGCCAUAACUGACGCUGAGGAGCGAAAGCCAGGGGAGCAAACGGG
rnacentral:rRNA from 1 species